GGGUGACUGCGUACCUUUUGUAUAAUGGGUCAGCGACUUAUAUUCUGUAGCAAGGUUAACCGAAUAGGGGAGCCGUAGGGAAACCGAGUCUUAACUGGGCGAAUGAGUUGCAGGGUAUAGACCCGAAACCCGGUGAUCUAGCCAUGGGCAGGUUGAAGGUUGGGUAACACUAACUGGAGGACCGAACCGACUAAUGUUGAAAAAUUAGCGGAUGACUUGUGGCUGGGGGUGAAAGGCCAAUCAAACCGGGAGAUAGCUGGUUCUCCCCGAAAGCUAUUUAGGUAGCGCCUCGUGAACUCAUCUUCGGGGGUAGAGCACUGUUUCGGCUAGGGGGUCAUCCCGACUUACCAACCCGAUGCAAACUACGAAUACCGAAGAAUGUUAUCACGGGAGACACACGGCGGGUGCUAACGUUCGUCGUGAAGAGGGAAACAACCCAGACCGCCAGCUAAGGUCCCAAAGUCAUGGUUAAGUGGGAAACGAAGUGGGAAGGCUCAGACAGCCAGGAUGUUGGCUUAGAAGCAGCCAUCAUUUAAAGAAAGCGUAAUAGCUCACUGGUCGAGUCGGCCUGCGCGGAAGAUGUAACGGGGCUAAACCAUGCACCGAAGCUGCGGCAGCGACAUGUAAAUGUUGUUGGGUAGGGGAGCGUUCUGUAAGCCUGUGAAGGUGUGCUGCGAGGCAUGCUGGAGGUAUCAGAAGUGCGAAUGCUGACAUAAGUAACGAUAAUGCGGGUGAAAAACCCGCACGCCGGAAGACCAAGGGUUCCUGUCCAACGUUAAUCGGGGCAGGGUGAGUCGACCCCUAAGGCGAGGCAGAAAUGCGUAGUCGAUGGGAAACAGGUUAAUAUUCCUGUACUGGUGAUAAUUGCGAUGGGGGGACGGAGAAGGCUAGGCUGGCCGGGCGACGGUUGUCCCGGUUUAAGGAUGUAGGUGGGUGAAUUAGGCAAAUCCGGUUCGCUAUACACUGAGGUCUGAUGACGAGUCACUACGGUGGCGAAGUAGCUCAUGCCCCGCUUCCAGGAAAAGCCUCUAAGCUCUAGAUUAUCAUUAAUCGUACCCCAAACCGACACAGGUGGUCAGGUAGAGAAUACUCAGGCGCUUGAGAGAACUCGGGUGAAGGAACUAGGCAAAAUGGUGCCGUAACUUCGGGAGAAGGCACGCUGGCAUUAGGUGAAGUGGUUUACCCAUGGAGCUGAAGCCAGUCGCAGAUACCAGCUGGCUGCAACUGUUUAUUAAAAACACAGCACUGUGCAAACACGAAAGUGGACGUAUACGGUGUGACGCCUGCCCGGUGCUGGAAGGUUAAUUGAUGGGGUUAUCCGUAAGGAGAAGCUCUUGAUCGAAGCCCCAGUAAACGGCGGCCGUAACUAUAACGGUCCUAAGGUAGCGAAAUUCCUUGUCGGGUAAGUUCCGACCUGCACGAAUGGCGUAAUGAUGGCCAGGCUGUCUCCACCCGAGACUCAGUGAAAUUGAACUCGCUGUGAAGAUGCAGUGUACCCGCGGCAAGACGGAAAGACCCCGUGAACCUUUACUAUAGCUUGACACUGAACAUUGAGCCUUGAUGUGUAGGAUAGGUGGGAGGCUUUGAAGUGUGGACGCCAGUCUGCAUGGAGCCAACCUUGAAAUACCACCCUUUAAUGUUUGAUGUUCUAACGUUGCCCCAUAAUCUGGGGUGCGGACAGUGUCUGGUGGGUAGUUUGACUGGGGCGGUCUCCUCCCAAAGCGUAACGGAGGAGCACGAAGGUUGGCUAAGCAUGGUCGGACAUCAUGCGGUUAGUGCAAAGGCAUAAGCCAGCUUGACUGCGAGAGUGACGGCUCGAGCAGGUACGAAAGUAGGUCUUAGUGAUCCGGUGGUUCUGAAUGGAAGGGCCAUCGCUCAACGGAUAAAAGGUACUCCGGGGAUAACAGGCUGAUACCGCCCAAGAGUUCAUAUCGACGGCGGUGUUUGGCACCUCGAUGUCGGCUCAUCACAUCCUGGGGCUGAAGUAGGUCCCAAGGGUAUGGCUGUUCGCCAUUUAAAGUGGUACGCGAGCUGGGUUUAGAACGUCGUGAGACAGUUCGGUCCCUAUCUGCCGUGGGCGUUGGAAGAUUGAAAGGGGCUGCUCCUAGUACGAGAGGACCGGAGUGGACGCACCGCUGGUGUUCGGGUUGUCAUGCCAAUGGCACUGCCCGGUAGCUAAGUGCGGAAGAGAUAACCGCUGAAAGCAUCUAAGCGGGAAACUUGCCUUGAGAUGAGUCUUCCCUGACUCUUUAAGGGUCCUAAAGGAACGUUUAAGACGAAGACGUUGAUAGGCUGGGUGUGUAAGCGUAGCGAUACGUUGAGCUAACCAGUACUAAUGAACCGUGAGGCUUAACCUG
rnacentral:rRNA from 2 species